AAACUGAUGUUUAUGCUUCUUUUGUUUAGUGUUAUUAAAAUAACUUGAUAUUCCUAUGACUUGAAAGGGAAAAAAAAAAAUUCUUUAAAAACUGAAGUGUGCCAUUUUAAAUAUUCCACAGUAAAGUUGACUGAUCCCUCUCCUUCCACACUGCAUGUCCUUAACCUGUUCCCUACAGAAAUCUUAUAUAUGUAUAGCUCAGUAUAUACAUCAGUUAAAUUAGAGAAUUCCACAUUUUUUCUUAUAUUUCUCUUUGUCUAGAUGAUAACAAGAGCUGUGUACACUGAUGGGGGGAAAAACAGACAGAAACAACAGAUGAAGAAGUUUCAGCUCCAGCUCAUUGGUCCAUGAACCUCCCCCUCAACCCCCUGCUGCAAAGAGAAUUAGUGCCGAAAACAAAUCAAACAAAGAUGGAGCUUAUACCUGGGGCUGGGGUUUAUGUGUAUCCCAAACACAUAAAAACCGCACAGAGGAAGACGAAGGGGAACAGGUCGCCAGAUAUUUGAUGUCAGUGUUCUUCACCAACACUGAGCUGGUCAACCUGGGAAAGGUUUGAACCAGAGCAUUGUUGGAGCAAUAAUUGAUUAUGCUGAGGCAAUUCAUGGGAAAAGUGGCCUGUCAGAAAUCAAGUUUUCAAUGAGGACAAAAAUCAGUGCUUUGGUCAGCUUGGCCAGGAGGAACUCAACCACAUAGAACAAAUGAGAGAUUUCAAAUUUUAAGAACUAUUAAUAUGAUUGUUUGUUGUAACUUUACAAGAGAUAUUCUAUUAAUGAUUAUUUUAGGAAUGGUUAUGUGAAAUAGUUGUGAAUACAAGAGAAUAAAAGUGAGUAUGCUAGUGUCAGAACUGGAGAGAGUCAUAGUCAAUGCAGGGCACUUCCUGGAAGUCAACAUGAGAGUAUAUUUAUUACAUUAUUGUGUAUUAUAUUGUAAAAUAAUAGUAACUACAGAAAGUAUUUAUAUAAUAGUAACUACAAGAAAAUAUUUAUAGUGUAGUAAGUGCAAGAGAAUAUCUAUAUGAUAAAUAGUAACUUCAAGAAAAUACUUAUAUAAUAGUAGCUAAAAGAAAAUAUUUAUUCAUAUAUU